AAUAUAAAUAUGUUUGUGUCGUUAUUCUAGCUAAUAAAUGUGUUUAAGAAAAAUACUUUUAAAUAAAAAUCAGUUUUUAGUACGCGAGAAAAAGCUUUUUUGGACUUGAGUAUAAAAGUACCGUUAGGGAAAUUUGAAAUAUGUAUGAAAAUUUAAUUGGUUAAAAGGAGAAAUAAAAAUUCGUACCUUUUGUAUCAGGGAGAAUCAAAAUGUGUCAGUUACAGUGAAUUUCCCGAAAAAAGAAUAGCUAAUAAUUUAUAGUUGUCCUGGUGGGAAACAGGUUUAAAAUAAAUUCAUUAGUGGUGAAAUGCCAAUCGAGUCUUUUAAUAUCUGGUUGUUCUGGAAAUAAAUUUAAUUUAGACUAAACUGGUAAAAAGCAGUUUAGUAGUAGAGCCGGAGGGAAAAGCUUCUGGUUAAACUAGCUAUGUGAGAAAAAUUGUGUUUGAGGAGAGGAUAUCCUAACUAAGCCUAGAAGUAGCUAUGUUCAUAAAGUGUCUUAACUAAGACGGAGUCCUCAAAGAAUAUUUUUAUAGUCUUCAUGAGAAAUACAGAACUUUAAUCUAGAAUUUAAUAGGUCUAGUAGUAAUGAUUUUAUUAGUAUAAUUGUUUCUGUGUGUUUAAUUAAAACAAGUCUAAAAUAAUAGACAUCCUUUGUUUUAUAGAGGAAAGUUAUAGCAAAGGAACUCGGCAAAAAGGAUUUCUGCCUGUUUAUCAAAAACAUGUCUUUACGGGUUUUAUGUAAAGUCUAGCCUGCCCAGUGAUAUUAAAGUUCAACGGCCGCGGUAGCAUGACCGUGCUAAGGUAGCAU
rnacentral:rRNA from 1 species